GGGGGGGGGGGGGGGGGGUUGAAUAAGAGUGGCCACCAUAGGCUCGUAAAUUUGAAUGCUUUGGUCACCAGGGAGCGGUGCUAUUUUGGAGUAGGUGCGGCCUAGUUGGAGGAAGUGCGUCACUGUGGGUGGUCUUUAGGGUUUCAAAUGCUCAAGCCAGCCUCAGUGUGUUUCUCCCUUCCUGCUGCCUGCUGAUUUGAAUGUAGAACUCCCAGCUACCUCCCCAGCACCUGCAUGCCACCUUGCUUCCUGACAUGACCAUAAUGGAUGAAACCUCUGAAACUGUAAGCCAGCCCCAAUUAAAUGCUUUCUUUUAUAAGAGUUGUCAUAGUCAUACUACAUUUUUGACACGGUGACAAAAUAUAGUAAUCUGCAAAGCUCAUGCUCACACAAUAGGGUUAUAUGGUUUAAAAAAACAAACAAACAAUGACUUCACGAAAUUCUAAGGCAAGUGGACGGAUAUAGAAAAUAUCAUCCUGAGCGAGGUAACCCAAUCAUAAAAGAACACACAUGGUAUGCACUCACUGAUAAGAGGAUAUUAGCCCAAAGGCUCGGAAUACCCAGGAUACAAUUCACAGGCCACAUGAAGCUCAAGAAGAAAGGAAGACCAAAGUGUAGGUGCUUCGAUCCUUCUUAGAAGGGGGAAGAAAAUACUCAAGAUGCUGGGGUUUCGACCUGUGCACACACUGAGCAGCACUGGUGCUGCUGAGCAUCACGCUCAUAAGAAGCUCAUGCAGGGCAUCACCUUGGAGGCAAAGAAGCGCACAGAAUACCCACGAUACAAUUCACAGACCACAGGAAGCUCAAGAAGAAAGACCAAAGUGUGGAUGCUUCAGUUCUUAGAAGGGGGAACAAAAUACUCACUGGAGGAAAUAAGGAAACAAAGUAUGGAGUAGAGGCUGAAGGAAAGGCUAUCCAGAGACU
rnacentral:lncRNA from 1 species